rnacentral:rRNA from 1 species
UACGGAAGGGACUAGCGUUGUUCGGAAUUACUGGGCGUAAAGCGCACGUAGGCGGAUUGUUUAGUCAGGGGUGAAAUCCCGAGGCUCAACCUCGGAACUGCCUUUGAUACUGGCAAUCUCGAGUCCGGAAGAGGUGAGUGGAAUUCCUAGUGUAGAGGUGAAAUUCGUAGAUAUUAGGAAGAACACCAGUGGCGAAGGCGGCUCACUGGUCCGGUACUGACGCUGAGGUGCGAAAGCGUGGGGAGCAAACAGG